GGCUCCAUAGCUCAGUGGAUAGAGAGCUGGUCUACGGAACUAGAGGUCGUGAGUUUGAUCCUCGCUGGAGCCU
rfam:Astyanax mexicanus Tnplaced_Scaffold_7611, whole genome shotgun sequence.